AGUAGGAGUUGCCCACCGAACGGCGUCGAGUGUCUGUCUGUGCAGCGGCCGCUGCAACCGAAGCGUGAGUCCCCACCCAGCUUUGUCUUCAAUCAUCAUUUCUACAGGAAGCCGCGCAUCUCCCACUUCCUCCUCUCUCAGUAUCGGGCAGCAAGUCAGCCUUCUUGUUUGCCUCUCGCUCUACUUCAGGGCUUCCUCUAUUGCCUGCUGCUGAUGGACCUAUCUCACCUGCAUCCCCCAGCAAGAAAACUGACAGGAGCAUUAGAAGAGAUCUAGGAUUGAUGCAGGCCUUCCCAGCACGCCUUGGGGGACCACAGCAUGUCAUCCAGGCAGAUGCUGCGUGUUUCCUCCACCGUGCUGUCCCAACCGUGACCGGUGAUACCCUCUAGAUGUGAACCACAAUAGACCCUUCCUGCCUUAAGUUGCCUUUGUCAAGUGAAAA